rnacentral:rRNA from 1 species
CCACGCUGCCGGUUCACCGCCCGUCGGUGUCUAACUGGCAUGCACGUGUGGACGUCCUGCCGGUGGCCCGAGCCGGCGCGGGUCUUGCACCUGUCGUCCGGGGAAGGCCUAUCAUACCCGUCCGGGUGCUCUUAACCGAGUGUCUCGAUGGGCCGGCACGUUUACUUUGAACAAAUUAGAGUGCUUAAAGCAGGCAGCAUCCGCCUGAAUACCGAGUGCAUGGAAUAAUGGAAUAGGACCUCGGUUCUAUUUUGUUGGUUUUCGGAAUCUCCGAGGUAAUGAUCAAUAGGGACAGACGGGGGCAUUCGUAUUGCGACGUUAGAGGUGAAACUUAAAGGAAUUGACGGAAGGGCACCACCAGGAGUGGAGCCUGCGGCUUAAUUUGACUCAACACGGGAAACCUCACCAGGCCCGGACACCGGGAGGAUUGACAGAUUGAGAGCUCUUUCUUGAUUCGGUGGGUGGUGGUGCAUGGCCGUUCUUAGUUGGUGGAGCGAUUUGUCUGGUUAAUUCCGAUAACGAACGAGACUCUAGCCUGCUAACUAGUCGCAUCCGGUAUCCUUGUGCUACCGGCGACUCCUGAUCUUCUUAGAGGGACAGGCGGCUCCUAGCCGCACGAGAUUGAGCAAUAACAGGUCUGUGAUGCCCUUAGAUGUUCUGGGCCGCACGCGCGCUACACUGAAGGAAUCAGCGUGUCCUCCCUGGCCGAAAGGCCCGGGUAACCCGCUGAACCUCCUUCGUGCUAGGGAUUGGGGCUUGCAAUUGUUCCCCAUGAACGAGGAAUUCCCAGUAAGCGCGAGUCAUAAGCUCGCGUUGAUUACGUCCCUGCCCUUUGUACACACCGCCCGUCGCUACUACCGAUUGAAUGAUUUAGUGAGGUCUUCGGACCGGUGGGCGAGGGGGUUCUCCUCCUCGAUUCCUCCGGGAAGAUGCCCAAACUUGAUCAUUUAGAGGAAGUAAAAGUCGUAACAAGGU